CACUAAGCUCCGCCCCGCGCGCUCAGCGUCCUGAAGGAGAGGGCGGGCCUGAGUCUUGGAGCUCCUCCUACUACACCAAGUGCUUUGAAUCCUGGGUUCGUCAGAAAAGCUCUAGAAAACGCCCUAGGAGUUAGAGCAAACUUGACCGUGAUCUAUUUUUCCUUAUAGUCAGACGGGACAGCUGGGAAGAAACUAUGAAAAACUGUGAAAGAAAGUCUUAGCGCGUUCACCUCCCGCACUCCUACCAGAACUACACUCGCACCCGCAGGGACGAAAGCAUCUCUGACUUUAUUCGGUACUAAGUCCAAACGGUGCUAAGAGAAACCCGGGAAGUGGUGGUGACAAGACACUGAGAACUGGGGAAGGAGACGAAAAACUCACCAACCGAAGCAUUGCAAACACUGGGACCUCACAGAGAAGAGUAGCUGACCAGUGGCAGAACUCCAGUGUUUCUGGGUCUCAUGACCGAAUCCUACCUAAAUAUCGCACCACUGAGUCUUUACAGUUAAUCAAGUCUUAAGAGUUGGAAGCAGUGGUCGGUGAAAAAAAGGCAAAGGUAUUUCAGAUAUUGAUUAUAGCCAUCAAUCAAAGGACACCCUCUCAUAUGCUUCCAAAAGCUCAAGUAAGCAAGGAUUUUUCUGUAUUAAUAAUUUGAGCACCCCCAUUAGGUCAGUUCCUAAUUCAGUAUACAUCAUAUUUUUAAAAUAAUU
rnacentral:lncRNA from 1 species